GGUGCCAGCAGCCGCGGUAAUACGAAGGGUGCAAGCGUUACUCGGAAUUACUGGGCGUAAAGCGUGCGUAGGUGGUUGUUUAAGUCUGCUGUGAAAGCCCUGGGCUCAACCUGGGAAUUGCAGUGGAUACUGGGCGACUAGAGUGUGGUAGAGGACAGUGGAAUUUCCGGUGUAGCAGUGAAAUGCGUAGAUAUCGUAAGGAAGACCAGCGGCGAAGGCGAGUUCCUGGACAGUUACUGACGCUGAGGCACGAAGGCCAGGGGAGCAAACGGGAUUAGAAACCCCAGUAGUCC
rnacentral:rRNA from 1 species